UUGGUAUGACGGCGUCGUCGUCGUUGUCCGAAGACACAUUGGUUUUCGCACUCUAACUUUAGUUUAAGUGAAUGGAUCUCUAUGAAAUUUUACCAUAAGGUUCAAUACCACAAAAGGAAGGUUGGGAUUGAUUUUGGGGGUUAUGGUACCAACAGUUAAGGAAUUAGGGGCCAAAAAGGGGUCAAAAAUAAGCAUUUUGGUAACUUCCAGACAUAACUUGUGUGUUAGUGUAUGGAUCUCUCAGACAUUGUACCACAAGGUUCCAUAUCACAAAGGGAAUGCAGGGAUUGAUUUUGGGGGUAAUUGCCUUAAAAUUUUAGGAAUUAGGGGCCAAAAAUGGGGCAAAAAACAAGCAUUUUUCUAGUUUCAUGAUAAUAACUUGUGUGUAAGUGUAUGGAUCUUUCUGAAAUUGUACUACAAGGUUCCAUAUCACAAAGGGAAAGCUGGAAUUGAGUUUGGGGGUAAUUGCCCAAAACGUUUAGGAAUAAGGGGCCUCAAAGGGGCCAAAAAUAAGCUUUUUUCUAGUUUCCAGACAAUAACUUGUGUUCAAGUGUAUGGAUCUUUCUGAAAUUGUACUGCAAGGUACCAUACCACAAAGGGAAGGCUGGGAUUGAUUUUGGGGGUAAUUGCCUCAAAAUUUUAGGAAUUAGGGGCCAAAAAGGGGCAAAAAACAAGCAUUUUUCUAGUUUCAGGACAAUAACUUGUGUGUAAGUGUAUGGAUCUUUAUGAAAUUGUACUACAAGGUUCCAUAUCACAAAGUGAAAGCUGGGUUUGAGUUUGGGGGUAAUUGCCCUAAACGUUUAGGAAUUUGGGGCCAAAAAGGGGCCUAAAAACAAGCAUUUUCUAGUUUCCAGACAAUAACUUGUGUUCAAGUGUAUGGAUCUCUCUGAAAUUGUACAGCAAGGUACCAUACCACAAAGGGAAGGCUGGGAUUGAUUUUGGGGGUAAUUGCCUCAAAAUUUUAGGAAUUAGGGGCCAAAAGGGACAAAAAACAAGCAUUUUUCUAGUUUCAGCACAAUAACUUGUGUGUAAGUGUACGGAUCUUUAUGAAAUUGUACUACAAGGUUCCAUAUCACAAAGGGAAAGCUGGGUUUGAGUUUGGGGUUAAUUGCCCUAAAUGUUUUGGAAUUUGGGGCCAAAAAGGGGCCUUAAAACAAGCAUUUUCUAGUUUCCAGACAAUAACUUGUGUUCAAGUGUAUGGAUCCCUCUGAAAUUGUACUGCAAAGUACCAUACCACAAAUGGAAGGCUGUGAUUGAUUUUAGGGGUAAUUGCCUCAAAAUUUUAGGAAUAAGGGGCCAAAAAGGGGCAAAAACAAGCAUUUUUCUAGUUUCAGGACAAUAACUUGUGUGUAAGUGUAUGGAUCUUAUGAAAUUGUACUUCAAGGUUCCAUAUCACAAAGGGAAAGCUGGGUUUGAGUUUGUGGGUAAUUGCCCUAAACGUUUAGGAAUUUGGGGCCAAAAAGGGGCCUUAAAACAAGCAUUUUCUAGUUUCCAGACAAUUACUUGUGUUCAAGUGUAUGGAUCCCUCUGAAAUUGUACUGCAAGGUACCAUACCACAAAGGGAAGGCUGGGAUUGAUUUUGGGGGUAAUUGCCUCAAAAUUUUAGGAAUUAGGGGCCAAAAGGGACAAAAAACAAGCAUUUUUCUAGUUUCAGCACAAUAACUUGUGUGUAAGUGUAUGGAUCUUUAUGAAAUUGUACUACAAGGUUCCAUAUCACAAAGGGAAAGCUGGGUUUGAGUUUGGGGGUAAUUGCCCUAAACGUUUUGGAAUUUGGGGCCAAAAAGGG